rnacentral:misc_RNA from 1 species
AACGCACAUUGCGCCCCUUGGUAUUCCGGGGGGCAUGCCUGUUCGAGCGUCAUUAUAACCCUCAAGCCUAGCUUGGUGUUGGGGCAUGCUUCUGCAGCCCUUAAAAUCAGUGGCAGUGCCUGUUGGCUCUAAGCGUAGUAAUACUCCUCGCUAUAGAACCCAGCGGAUACGCGCCAGAACCCCAAAUUUUCUAUGGUUGACCUCGGAUCAGGUAGGGAUACCCGCUGAACUUAA